rnacentral:lncRNA from 1 species
UUUUGAUGACUCAUAACAUGGAUAACGUGGCUAACAAAUCUGUGUUGAAUAAAGGGGUUGUAUUUGUAAACCAGGGAAAUUUUCUUCUCACCACAAUUUUCUUCUACCAGUCAUUGGACUAUUGUAGUUGAUAUAACUUUUGAGGAAUAUAAUUUACAGUUAUUACAAUUAAAAGAACACUUACAAAAUUUUAAAACAAUAAAGGAAGCACAAAGGAAAGGCUGGGAGAGUACAGCAAUGAUGGGAUCUCUAUGGAAUUACACUGUCACUGAAGCUAUAAAUUUGGACCAAAUCUUAAGAGAUCAGGAUACCGAAUACUGGGAUUUAAAAUCUUUAGUCACAUUAUAUAUGAACAAGAAGAAAAAGAGAGCACUUAUUGAUUUAGGGGGAGACUUAUUGAAGUUCUUGUUUGGGACUGCUACAUCUAAAGAAGUCAAAGACCUCAAUGCAUG